AAGUCGUAACAAGGUUUCCGUAGGUGAACCUGCGGAAGGAUCAUUAACGAAUAACUAUGGCGUUGGUUGUAGCUGGCUCCUCGGAGCAAUGUGCACGCCCGCCAUUUUUAUCUUUCCACCUGUGCACCGACUGUAGGUCUGGAUACCUCUCGCCUCCGGGCGGAUGCGAGGGUUGCUCGUAAGGGCUUCCCUUGAACUUCCAGGCUCUACGUCUUUUUACACACCCCAAUAGUAUGAUGCAGAAUGUAGUCAACGGGCUUCUCAGCCUAUAAAACACUAUACAACUUUCAGCAACGGAUCUCUUGGCUCUC
rnacentral:misc_RNA from 1 species